rnacentral:rRNA from 1 species
UACAGAGGUCUCAAGCGUUGUUCGGAUUCAUUGGGCGUAAAGGGUGCGUAGGCGGCGCGGUAAGUCGGAUGUGAAAUCUCGGGGCUUAACUCCGAAACUGCAUUCGAUACUUCCGUGCUUGAGGACUGGAGAGGAGACUGGAAUUUACGGUGUAGCGGUGAAAUGCGUAGAUAUCGUAAGGAAGACCAGUGGCGAAGGCGGGUCUCUGGACAGUUCCUGACGCUGAGGCACGAAGGCCAGGGGAGCAAACGGG